rnacentral:piRNA from 1 species
UGAAUUCCUCAGAACUCCACGAAGAC